UACGUAGGGUGCGAGCGUUGUCCGGAAUUAUUGGGCGUAAAGAGCUCGUAGGCGGUUUGUCGCGUCGGCCGUGAAAACCUGGGGCUCAACCCCAGGCUUGCGGUCGAUACGGGCAGGCUCGAGUUCGGUAGGGGAGACUGGAAUUCCUGGUGUAGCGGUGAAAUGCGCAGAUAUCAGGAGGAACACCGGUGGCGAAGGCGGGUCUCUGGGCCGAUACUGACGCUGAGGAGCGAAAGCGUGGGGAGCGAACAGG
rnacentral:rRNA from 1 species